rnacentral:rRNA from 1 species
UACGUAGGGGGCGAGCGUUGUCCGGAUUUACUGGGCGUAAAGCGCGUGUAGGCGGCCCGUUAAGUUGGGUGUGAAAGCCCGGGGCUCAACCCCGGAAUUGCCUUUAAGACUGCAUCGCUUGAAUCCGGGAGAGGUGAGUGGAAUUCCGAGUGUAGAGGUGAAAUUCGUAGAUAUUCGGAAGAACACCAGUGGCGAAGGCGGCUCACUGGACCGGUAUUGACGCUGAGGUGCGAAAGCGUGGGGAGCAAACAGG